GCUUAGCCGUAAACUUUGAUGUUAAUAUACAACUAGCAUCCGCCAGGGAACUACAAGCGUCAGCUUAAAACCCAAAGGACUUGGCGGUGCCUCAUACCCACCUAGAGGAGCCUGUUCUUGAAUCGAUACUCCCCGUUCAACCUCACCACCCCUUGUUCAACCCGCCUAUAUACCGCCGUCGUCAGCUUACCCUGUGAAGGUCUCAUAGUAAGCAAAAUGGGCACAGCCCAGAACGUCAGGUCAAGGUGCAGCGUAUGGGGUGGGAAGAAAUGGGCUACAUUCCCUAGUUCAGGGUACUACAGAUGGGGCUGUGAAACCAGCCCCUGAAGGUGGAUUUAGCAGUAAGAAGGAAAUAGAGUGUUCUUCUGAAGCCGGCUCUGAGGCGCGC
rnacentral:rRNA from 1 species